GCAAGAGCUAUGACAAAUGAAAACCAUUUUUUAAUGACUUUUCAUAGUUUAUAUAGGUAACUGUGAGUAUAUUCUGGUAGUCAGGUGAUACUUAUUUUGAAAAUGGGUCAUAUUUCUGAUAAAACCAAUCAUUCAGCAAAGACCUGUUGAGGAUGUGCAUGUGCUGUGCGUUGAACUAGUCACUGGGGGUACAAAGAUGAUACAGUCUCUGCUUUCAUACGACCUACUUUGAAAAAGAGAAAGAAAAAUAUUUUAGAUCCACAGUUGACUUGAGUCUUUAACAAAUGCUUAUCUAGUGGAUGUUCUGUUGAUUAUUUUUAGAUGCCACAAUUAAUUAACAGUAAUCAGUGAAGCAUUAUCUCCCCUCAAACAAACCAGCUUCCAAACCUAACUGCUUAAGUUUCCUCUUCUCCCUAAUACGUUAUAGUCUUCAACUUUGAAUACAAGUUUUGAGGUAUUUAAAUUUCAGAGAAAAACUUUACUUUGUUCUACAGGCAGAUUUCCAAGAAGUUUCUUCUCAUUUUCCCAUUUAGUAUCUGUCAUGUUUUAAAAAUUAAGGCUGUGUACCAAAUAUGAGUCAUUAUGAGGUUUCUUUUAUUUCACUUUUUCCUUUGAGGCAUUCUAAAAUAAUGUUAAGGUAAUGUCAAUAAUUUCUUCUUUUCCCCCCCAGCUGGUCCAUAUGGAAUAUUUGCUGGUAGGGAUGCCUCCAGAGGACUGGCGACAUUUUGCCUAGAUAAAGAUGCACUUAAAGAUGAAUAUGAUGAUCUCUCAGACUUGAAUGCUGUACAAAUGGAGAGUGUCCGAGAAUGGGAAAUGCAGUUUAAAGAAAAAUAUGAUUAUGUAGGCAGACUCCUAAAACCAGGGGAAGAACCAUCAGAAUAUACAGAUGAAGAAGAUACCAAGGAUCACAAUAAACAGGAUUGAACUUUGUAAACAACCAAAGUCAGGGGCCUUCAGAACUGCAAUUCUUAUUACUCCCUUUCACAGAAUGUCCAGCAUCUUUGGGUUUGGUUCACCUGCUGCAAAAAACAUUCAACAGAUUGUAUACAAGCUAAAUGAGUCUCACUAUGAAGAUUUGAAUACUAGACAUUAUUUAUGCUGCCAAACUCAUUUAUUGCAGUUGUUUGUAAUGUCUGGUGGGGCUUCAUCAUCCUGAAAAGGAGGAAACAGGGACUUUUUUAAAGAGCAAGAAAGUCACAAGGUUACUUUUUCCUUCCUUGCUUCCUCCCUCCCUCCUACCCUCCUUCCCUCCCUUCCUUCCUCUUUUUUUUUUUUUUUAAAUCAAAGACAACCAGAUAUGUAUUUGCUACAUAAGUGUACAAAUCUCAAAAACAGCAAGGGAUUCAUGUGCUGUGUUCUUGUUUUAGCUUUGAGGGAAGAGACUUGGGCAGGAGAAGUUGGGGGUGCACAUCAAUUUGAGUAGUUUAGGUUACUGAAACAUUAAAAUGUGAAUUCCCAAACUUUUCUUUUUGGGUUUUGUCAGGGAAAAGAAAAAUACCUUUAUUUCUAAGAAAUUAAGAGAAGGGAUUUCAAGUGGAUCUAAGUCAAAGCUAAUUCCCCAAUAGUAAGAUCAUUUGAAACUAGUUUUUAUCCCUUCCCUUCCCCUAUUGAUCAAAUCAAUAUUAAUUGUGCCUUAUUUCACUUAUAUAGACUUGAAUUAUUUUAGGGAAAGCCCCUAUGUGAAUUCAGAAGUCACUACAAGCAGCAUUGAGACUGAAGUUGGGAUAUUCUCUUGACCGCAAAACCUUGAAGUCAUUCUGUGUAUAUAGAAUGUAAAAGGAAUAUUCAGUGUUACUGCCACAUAUGUUAAUAUACACAAUCUUAAUUAGCAUUGUAAUGGCCAAAUGCAUUCCCUCAUGCUUUCUCUCUCUCUUUUAAAAAAAACUGAAAAACAAAUCAACUCUGUCCCCCAACAGCUGCCUAAUUUUAGGAGUCUGACCCUCACAUCUCAUUGGUGUGGGUGCAUGGGGCCGUAGUAUGGAUGUUGUAUGGAUGUGUCUGAAUGUGUGUGAGAGCGCCUUGGAAGGGACUCUGCAGAUACUGUAAAUACCAGUACCGUUUUAAUAAAGCAUGUACAAUAAACCAAAAUAAGCUUGAGUUGGACUUUAUAUACAAACUGUAAGCCAGUGCAUUAUGAUAUGGUAGUCAGGAUUGUGCAUUUGAUUCAAGAUAAGGAAAAAUCUUGGAAAUGAAAAGCAGGCACUGGUUAAACAAGUUGUACACAUUGUACCACAUUCACUGUAACUUUAGGAAGAAAUUCCACUUUGUGGAACAUUCUCAAGAGAUCUGAGAUUAUUCAGGUAAGAAUUGAUAUAUAAAAAUGUACAUAUUUUUACUUUAUAUUUUGAUGCCAACUGAUUAUACUAGAAGUAAUAGCACCAGAUGGUAGUUACUGAACACAAAAUAAUAAAGGAUAUUCUACUGAUAGGUACUGAAUCCUUCUAUUGUUCAUUUGUAAAAGCCCUAUAUGUCGGUUACUUGAUUUCAUCACGACUACUUAGGUUCUUGGUUGGAUACAAGUUACACCAAAAAAGAUAAUUUUAUUAAACAAGUCACCAGUUAAAGAAAAGAUUUAUUCUGCUUUAUGAGUAUAAUAUAUGCAGAAGCCAUCAAAGAAAGGGGAAAUGUAAACUGCAAUAAUAAGCUAAAGUAUGUAAAAUACUACAUUCUAUUAUAUUCGGUCUUGGAAUGUUUUGUAGAAAAUGAUGAACAUCAGCCAAAUCUUUGCUGAAGACUGGUUGUAAAAACUGAGGAGUAUUGGUAAAUGCUUUGUGUGUUUUUAUGUAAAAUAUUUUUUAAACAAAUUUGUUAAAGUACAUGUCCUCUGUAGUAAGCAUAUAAAUAUAUAUAUAUGAAUCAUUUGAGCCUAAAGUUCAGAAAUAAAUCUACACCUGUGAAUAGAGAAACCCUAAAUAUCCAUGCAGUAAAAAUUAUGCAGUCUGUUAAGAAAAUUGAGUAAUUUUGUGUUUUGGACUUGAAAUAAACCGUGUUCUACAGACAAUUCCUCAA